UUAUAACCAUAUUAAUUACGCCUCUUCGGCUUCUCCGUGGUAAAUGCUCAUUCUAAAUACACAUCUCAUCCACACAUUACACCUCUUUGUAAAUGUUUUUGCAUAAUAACACUUCUCAUCGUCUUCUUCUCCCACUUUCAGCGGUAAAUUAAAUCUCCUCCGUUUUAUUUACUUCUUCCUCCAAAUUCACAAAUUUCCUUCCUUGGACCCGUGCUUCAUUGGUUACAUAUGAUGAUCAACCUUUGAAAAUUAAUAGCCAAAGGAAGAUUAUAUCGUCUCUAUCCAUUCAUUAUCCCAAGCACUGCUGAGAUGUCACCAUCUUUGGUUAAGAAAGCUUAAUAAUGAGGUCUUAAUGCAAUUGAGACCUAAAUCUUAGAAUGCCCACGCGCCACUAUAUCGUCAAUUUCUUAUAAUCAAUUUUAAGAAAAAACUCAGUUUCUCUAUUCUGUAAUAAUAUAAUUUUUACCGGUAGUUAGUAGUUUGAUUUUGUGCGGAAUUUGCAUAACGUAAGGUUCAUCAAGUUGAUAAAAGAUGAAUGGCUUUAUGCAAGAUUGAUAACUAGAAUCUUAAUUAUGUUUGUGCUUAAUGAUAUUACAUGUAAAUUUAAUUGGUGUUUCAGAAAUCUUUAUUCACGAAGUUUUAUCUGAAUUUUUGUUGUUGAAUUCUAUUAAUGCUCCAACUGAAAAGUUUUCUAAUCAGUUUUCUUGAAUUUGAUUGAGUUUUGUCGCGGGGUCUGGGGGUGUGGUUUUC